GACGAACGCUGGCGGUGUGCUUAACACAUGCAAGUCGAGCGGAAAGGCCACUUCGGUGGUACUCGAGCGGCGAACGGGUGAGUAACACGUGAGUAAUCUGCCCCUGGCUUUGGGAUAGCCACCGGAAACGGUGAUUAAUACCGGAUAUGACCACGUCUCGCAUGGGGUGUGGUGGAAAGUUUUUCGGCCAGGGAUGUGCUCGCGGCCUAUCAGCUUGAUGGUGAGGUAAUGGCUCACCAUGGCUUCGACGGGUAGCCGGCCUGAGAGGGUGACCGGUCACACUGGGACUGAGACCCGGCCCAGACUCCUACGGGAGGCAGCAGUGGGGAAUAUUGGACAAUGGGCGGAAGCCUGAUCCAGCAACGCCGCGUGAGGGAUGACGGCCUUCGGGUUGUAAACCUCUUUCAGUACCGACGAAGCGCAAGUGACGGUAGGUACAGAAGAAGCACCGGCCAACUACGUGCCAGCAGCCGCAGUAAAAC
rnacentral:rRNA from 1 species